UACGUAGGGGGCGAGCGUUGUCCGGAUUUAUUGGGCGUAAAGAGCUCGUAGGCGGUUACGCAAGUCGGGUGGGAAAUCUCCAGGCUCAACCUGGAGCCUUCGCCCGAUACUGCGUUGACUCGAGUCCGGUAGGGGAGUGUGGAAUUCCCGGUGUAGCGGUGAAAUGCGCAGAUAUCAGGAAGAACACCAAUGGCGAAGGCGGCGUUCUGGACUGCAACUGACACUGAAAAACGAAAGCCAGGGGAGCAAACGGG
rnacentral:rRNA from 1 species